rnacentral:rRNA from 1 species
AGACUUUGAUCCUGGCUCAGAGCGAACGCUGGCGGCAGGCCUAAUACAUGCAAGUCGAACGGCUUCUUCGGAAGCAGUGGCGGACGGGUGAGUAACGCGUGGGAACGUGCCCUUUGGUACGGAACAACUGAGGGAAACUUCAGCUAAUACCGUAUGUGCCCUUCGGGGGAAAGAUUUAUCGCCAUUGGAGCGGCCCGCGUUAGAUUAGCUAGUUGGUGGGGUAAAGGCCUACCAAGGCAACGAUCUAUAGCUGGUCUGAGAGGAUGAUCAGCCACACUGGGACUGAGACACGGCCCAGACUCCUACGGGAGGCAGCAGUAGGGAAUCUUGCGCAAUGGGCGAAAGCCUGACGCAGCCAUGCCGCGUGAAUGAUGAAGGUCUUAGGAUUGUAAAAUUCUUUCACCGGGGACGAUAAUGACGGUACCCGGAGAAGAAGCUCCGGCUAACUUCGUGCCAGCAGCCGCGGUAAUACGAAGGGGGCUAGCGUUGCUCGGAAUUACUGGGCGUAAAGGGCGCGUAGGCGGAU